rnacentral:rRNA from 1 species
UGGGGAAUAUUGCACAAUGGGCGCAAGCCUGAUGCAGCCAUGCCGCGUGUAUGAAGAAGGCCUUCGGGUUGUAAAGUACUUUCAGCGGGGAGGAAGGUGUUGUGGUUAAUAACCACAGCAAUUGACGUUACCCGCAGAAGAAGCACCGGCUAACUCCGUGCCAGCAGCCGCGGUAAUACGGAGGGUGCAAGCGUUAAUCGGAAUUACUGGGCGUAAAGCGCACGCAGGCGGUCUGUCAAGUCGGAUGUGAAAUCCCCGGGCUCAACCUGGGAACUGCAUCCGAAACUGGCAGGCUUGAGUCUUGUAGAGGGGGGUAGAAUUCCAGGUGUAGCGGUGAAAUGCGUAGAGAUCUGGAGGAAUACCGGUGGCGAAGGCGGCCCCCUGGACAAGGACUGACGCUCAGGUGCGAAAGCGUGGGGAGCAAACA